AACCUCAAAAGCAUUUAGCCUUCUUACCUGAUAAAGACCCUGACAGGGUGUGCUGUAGGCUGAUUUUGUACUAUUACUUUUGACUUCGGUAGCAUUAACUGUUUGUGUUUUUCUCCUGUUGGCAUUAUGCCUGUCGUCCAAACAAGAGGACCAUUAGUCAUUUUUACAGGAUUGCUAGUCUGCUAUUCUGUCUUCUCCAGUUUCAAAUUCUAUCUGUGUGGCUGCAGCAAAGGGUUACUGUAGUUAACAUUACAACUGAUCAUUUACUCUAGAGUAAACCUCCUGCAAUAUUUCCUCUUAAUUCGGCAGUCUGGAUCAGCAUCAUGGAUGCCUGGAACAAAAGAGGGAGACUAAGGUCAUAUUUCUUGGUAAAUAAUUCCCUCAGGAAAUAAGUAUUUUUUGGCUGCAGUGAUCACAAAAAAGCCUUCCAAGAUCCUGGAGGGACUGUGAAGUGUGCCAAGUAGUGAGCCAGAGGUUUGGACUCCAUAUCAACCACUGCAAAAACGAAAUGUCGGAGAUGGCUCACAGUUCCAUACUCCACAUCGCCCUGCUUGAGCAUUAACCUAUGCUGUCUUGAAACAGAAGAGAUCUACAGGGCAGCUACCAGUGAGCUCCACCUUAGCAGAAUAGCUGGGGUGGUCAACUGGAUCUCUACCAGCAGAGACCUCGGCCUCCAGGUUGUAGAAGUUGCUGU